rnacentral:rRNA from 1 species
AUACGUAGGGGGCGAGCGUUGUCCGGAAUGAUUGGGCGUAAAGGGCGCGUAGGCGGCCCGGUAAGCCUGGAGUGAAAGUCCUGUUUUUAAGAUGGGAAUUGCUUUGGAUACUGUCGGGCUUGAGUGCAGGAGAGGUAAGUGGAAUUCCCAGUGUAGCGGUGAUAUGCGUAGAGAUUGGGAGGAACACCAGUGGCGAAGGCGACUUACUGGACUGUAACUGACGCUGAGGCGCGAAAGUGUGGGGAGCAAACAGGAUUAGAUACCCUGGUAGUCCACACUGUAAACGAUGAAUGCUAGGUGUAGGGGGUAUCGACCCCUUCUGUGCCGCAGUCAACACAAUAAGCAUUCCGCCUGGGGAGUACGGCCGCAAGGUUGAAACUCAAAUGAAUUGACGGGG